AACUUUCAACAACGGAUCUCUUGGCUCUCGCAUCGAUGAAGAACGCAGCGAAAUGCGAUAAGUAAUGUGAAUUGCAGAUUUUCAGUGAAUCAUCGAAUCUUUGAACGCACCUUGACGCCCCUUGGUAUUCCGAGGGGCAUGCCUGUUUGAGUGUCA
rnacentral:rRNA from 1 species